rnacentral:rRNA from 1 species
GACGAACGCUGGCGGCGUGCUUAACACAUGCAAGUCGAACGGAAAGGCCCUGCGUUUGUGGGGUGCUCGAGUGGCGAACGGGUGAGUAACACGUGAGUAACCUGCCCCUGACUUUGGGAUAACAUCACGAAACUGGGGCGAAUACCGGAUAUGAGCUCCUGCACCACGGUGUUGGUUGGUAAGUUUCGGCGGUUGGGGAUGGACUCGCGGCUUAUCAGCUUGAUGGUGGGGUAGUGGCGUACCAAGGCUUUGACGGGUAGGCGGCCUGAGAGGGUGACCGGGCACAAUAGGACUGAGAUACGGCCCAGACUCGUACGGGAGGCAGCAGUGGGGAAUAUGACACAAUGGGCGGGCGCCAGAUGCAGCAACGCCGCGUGCGGGAAGACGGCCUUCGGGUUAUGAACCGCUUUCGCCUGUGCCGAAGAGUGCGUGACGGUACUGGGUAAAGAAGCACCGGCUAACUACGUG